AUGAGAGACACACAGAGAGAGGCAGAGACACAGGCAGAGGGAGAAGCAGGGAGCCUGAUGCCAGGACCCCAUCCCAGGACCCCAGGAUCAAGACCUGAGCCAAAGGCUGAUGCUCAACGACUGAGCCCCUCCAGGGGCCCCGAUUUUCUGCAGAAUGAUGUUUAUGAGACUAACCAAACUACCUUCCAGAUGACUUCUAUCUACCACAGUCUUCCUCCCCUCUGUAAGAGAAUGCAAGUAGAUGCUGAUGUUUGAAGCAAGAACGUUCAAGAAUUGCUGCCUGACUUUUAACCCAAGGAUUGGAAUGCUGCUGCUGCUACUGAAUUUGAGGCAUGCCAUGCACCGCUUCUGCAGUGAUAGCUUUGUUUUUGCAAAGUGAAUGGAAUGGAGUUUGUGGGGAUGUAGAAUGCAGGCACUGAGAAACCUACAUGAAUGUGUAAGAAUGACCACAAGGCACCAAACGUGGGUGUAUUUAUCUGCUUGUCUCAUUACUAAGAGGUUUUAGUUCUAAAAAAUAUCCGGAAGGAUUUAGCUUUGGGGAAGUGGGGAGGGAGAAGGAGUGGAAUGAGUUUUGAAAUUUUAAACAAUUUAUUUGAGCUUCCAACUGAUAUACUCCAAUUUCUUUACACCAGAAGCAGGGUUUCUUAAGGGACAGUUGAGAAAAGAUACUACCACCAGUGUACAGAGACAUUAAAAAGUUGAUUUUACAAUUUAUUUAGUAUAUUAACAAGAAGAUAUUUCAUUGCAAGAAAAAUUGGAAACUGCCAAGUUUCAAUAUUAGUUAUUAAAACAGCAAUUAAGACGUUUUUGUGGUCCAGAAAUAUGUUUGUCUUGGUGACAUAUGCUGUGUUCCAUUUGCAGGCUAAUUAUGUUGAUGCAAUUCUAUCUGAUGUUCUACUCCUUAAAUAGGUCAUGUGGUUUCACUGACAGAGGGUAAGUGAAGCUCCUUUUCAUUAAAAAAAAAAUUUUUUUUAAAGUAGUCUCUGCACCCAGCUGGAGCCCAAUGCCAGGCCUGAGCUCACAACCCUGAGAUCAAGACCUGAACUAGGAUCAAGGGCCAUCCAGAUGUCCCUCCUUUUCAUUCUCUUUCAAAGACAGUGGUGAUAUUCAGUUCUGGGGUCAGAUUACUUGGGUUAAAUCUACGUUCUGCCUUUAUCAAGUUUUAUAACUUUGGGCAAGUUAGUUAAUCUCUGUGUCUCAGUUUCCUUACCUGUUGUUGAGGAUGAUAAUAAUGUUACUUAUCUCUCAUAGGGUUAUUUUGAAAAUUAAAAUGAAAGAAUUAUAGUACACCCAUAGUGAGAAAUCAAUAAAUGUAUUUUUUAAAAAUUUACA
rnacentral:lncRNA from 1 species